GACGAACGCUGGCGGCGUGCUUAACACAUGCAAGUCGAACGAAGUGGCGAACGGGUGAGUAAUACGUGGGUAACCUGCCCUCCUUUUUGGGAUAAGCCUUGGAAACGGGGUCUAAUACCGAAUAAAGGGGGAUGGGCUCGCGGCCUCUCAGCUUGUUGGUGGGGUGAUGGCCUACCAAGGCGGUGACGGGUAGCCGGCCUGAGAGGGUGACCGGCCAAAUUGGGACUGAGAUUGGGUCCAGAGUCCUACGGGAGGCAGCAGUGGGGAAGAUUGGAGGAUGGGCGAAAGCCUGAUCCAGCCAUGCCGGGUGUGUGAAGAAGGUCUUUGGAUUGUAAAGCACUUUAAGUUGGGGGGCGGUACCAACCGGAUAAGCACCGGCUAACUUCGUGCCAGCGGCCGCGGUAAUUC
rnacentral:rRNA from 1 species